AUCCUGGGAGCCCCUCUCCUUAUCUGGCUGC
rnacentral:piRNA from 1 species